rnacentral:rRNA from 1 species
UACGGGGGGGCAAGCGUUGUUCGGAAUUACUGGGCGUAAAGGGCGCGUAGGCGGCCUGCUAAGUCGGAUGUGAAAUCCCUCGGCUCAACCGAGGAACUGCAUCCGAUACUGGCGGGCUUGAAUCCGGGAGAGGGAUGUGGAAUUCCAGGUGUAGCGGUGAAAUGACGUAGAUAUCUGGAGGAACACCGGUGGCGAAGGCGGCAUCCUGGACCGGUAUUGACGCUGAGGCGCGAAAGCUAGGGGAGCAACGGGG